GGUAGGACGGAGCGCAUCCAUUGUGGUUGAGGUAUUGCUUCUGAAAGAUCUUGUCCUAGUCGACAUCUGUCCAUUUGAGCAAAAUGUGCAUCAUGGAAGAAGAACAGACUAGGUCAUGUGGGGAAUGUGUACAACCUCUCGAGAGUGUCAAAUCUAAGUACUUAGCCGUGUCCCCGGUUAUGGACAUUAUGAGCAACUAGAGUCUGGAACUGUUUGGAGGAUCUCAUCAUUCCAAUUUCUUAAUAAAACUUGAUGGGACAAACAAUGGGUUUAGGAGCAUGCAAAGCUAGGUUGUCUUGUGUUUACAUGGGCCUAUGCUAGCAUGUCCGUAGAUGUUUAGGAGCGUAUGAAGCUAACUGUCUUGCGACGGCAUGGGUUAUGCUAAUAUGUUCCUAGACGAUGUUUCUGAAAAAAAAAAUUGUUUAUAAAAGAUAGGGAAACUAUUGCUUUCCGCAAAAGAGCCGAAACUCCACUUGCCAGAUGAGCACGUAGUUAUUAGGCGCCAUUUAUAUAUCCACCAAAUAGUGACAUUUGCCAAUACAAUUCCAAAUGUAUUGACCCUGCGUGGCUGCAACGUUUUAUGUUGCAGAUAUUCCGAUGAACGAGUGAGGUUCGAUGGUUAGGGUUACGAGUCUAUACUCGACAUGCUCGCCUGUGGCACAUGAAGACGAAGGACUCCAUGCUGUUAUGGUUCGUUGUGAACUCUGAUAUUGAGCUAGCCUUGUGCUAUGCAAUUUGUAAGUUAUUAUGUAAUUUGGAUCAUGCGAUGUAAUAAAGACCUUUGUUUCUUGGUA